AAGUCGUAACAAGGUUUCCGUAGGUGAACCUGCGGAAGGAUCAUUAUCGAGUUACUAUUGACUUUGAUGCUGGCCGCUUGCGGCAUGUGCUCGAGUCUUUAAAUCCACUCAACCACUGUGCACUAAUUCGAAAGCUUCGCGGUUCAGGCUCCUUCCUUCGGGAGGUCGAGUUCGGGCUUGCGGGGUUUUCGAGCUUCAUACAAACCACAUAUUGUCAUGUCGAAUGUAAUACUUUAUUAAAAAUACAA
rnacentral:misc_RNA from 1 species